CCCGCCACCCUCCUACCCCGGCCCGGCCGGAGCCCCCGGCUCCCCCGCUCACCUGAGCUGAUUUCUUGCAGGGUCCGGACUGCAGGAACCGGGCGAUCAGCUUCCAGGUUCCUGACCCGGUGCCAGCAGCUCCGGAGGAGGAUUUGGGUGCUUUGAGCUUCAGCUGCUCCACAGAGUUCACCCGUGGAGGUUCCUCAUGUUGUGCCACCAGUGGGUUACCUGCCUGCUCUGUGGACCUCAUUCUUCCUCCAUCCUCUGAAGUUCUCAGGUUUCUAGUUACCACUGCUUUAAUCUGCCCCUGUUGGAACACAGCUGCAGCCAGGAUGCACAGAUCUGCACCCCAGGUGCUGCCAAUCAAAAUAAACCCAGAAAGUUCAGAGUGGAAAGGUGCAGGUGUGCCAGGUUGUGCCUUUCCUUCUCAGUGGGUGCAGCUGGAACUGGGUGUCUGAGCCAGUCUGGAGUGAAAGACUACAGCAAAUCAAGAAUCUUCAGCAUUAAAUUUUUUUGCAGUGUUUUCUGUGCACGUUUUUGGGUCUGUUCUGCUCUACUUGGGCCUUUCGUG